rnacentral:rRNA from 1 species
CCUACGGGAGGCAGCAGUGAGGAAUAUUGGUCAAUGGACGAGAGUCUGAACCAGCCAAGUAGCGUGAAGGAUGACUGCCCUAUGGGUUGUAAACUUCUUUUAUAUGGGAAUAAAAUGUUCCACGUGUGGGAUUUUGUAUGUACCAUAUGAAUAAGGAUCGGAUAACUCCGUGCCAGCAGCCGCGGUAAUACGGAGGAUCCGAGCGUUAUCCGGAUUUAUUGGGUUUAAAGGGAGCGUAGGUGGAUUGUUAAGUCAGUUGUGAAAGUUUGCGGCUCAACCGUAAAAUUGCAGUUGAAACUGGCAGUCUUGAGUACAGUAGAGGUGGGCGGAAUUCGUGGUGUAGCGGUGAAAUGCUUAGAUAUCACGAAGAACUCCGAUUGCGAAGGCAGUUCACUGGACUGCAACUGACACUGAGGCUCGAAAGUGUGGGUAUCAAACAGGAUUAGAUACCCCUGUAGUC